CAGCCGCCGCGGGAAUACGAAGGGGGCUAGCGUUGUUCGGAAUUACUGGGCGUAAAGCGCACGUAGGCGGAUAUUUAAGUCAGGGGUGAAAUCCCAGAGCUCAACUCUGGAACUGCCUUUGAUACUGGGUAUCUUGAGUAUGGAAGAGGUUAGUGGAAUUGCGAGUGUAGAGGUGAAAUUCGUAGAUAUUCGCAGGAACACCAGUGGCGAAGGCGGCUAACUGGUCCAUAACUGACGCUGAGGUGCGAAAGCGUGGGGAGCAAACAGGAUUAGAUACCCCAGUAGUCCCUGUCUCUUAUAC
rnacentral:rRNA from 1 species